UACGUAGGGUGCAAGCGUUAAUCGGAAUUACUGGGCGUAAAGCGUGCGCAGGCGGUUUUGUAAGUCAGAUGUGAAAUCCCCGGGCUUAACCUGGGAACUGCGUUUGAAACUACAAGGCUAGAGUGUGGCAGGAGGGGGGGUGGAAUUCCACGUGUAGCAGUGAAAUGCGUAGAGAUGUGGAGGAACACCGAUGGCGAAGGCAGCCCCCUGGGUUAACACUGACGCUCAGGCACGAAAGCGUGGGGAGCAAACAGG
rnacentral:rRNA from 1 species